rnacentral:lncRNA from 1 species
AUCUGGGAAUUCCCCUUUAAGAAGUUACGUACGCGCCAUAAGCAUGAUGACGUCACUGACUCGUGGUUGCUAAGUGCGUUCGGCAACUACAUAGUUACAACAAAAACGUUCUUAUAAUUUCUCAAACUUUAUUCUUACUAUUUUAUUGGGCAUGUAUAAGUUGGCAAAAUACAUUUAUAGUUUUCUCAUAAUAUUAGAUCACUCCUGAAAUAUGAUAUUUUACUAAAGUAAAUCUGGGUUUUGUGCUUCGGACUUCUUCGGGCUUUUCCGGAAGUAAGUGGCCUACGUGCAGGAUUAAGACGUCCUGUUCCUUUUUCUUCGGACCAUGCCGUUGCAUGAUGUGAGCCAAAUUCACAUCAAAAACCAUCUUUUGCGAGCUAAAAUCUGAAGGCCCAUAUCUGAACAGCCCACCAACUGAAGUGAAGUGCUGUAUAGCUGCUUUUGGAGUCAUUUAAGGGAAAGAUUUGAAGACGUCGGGGGUUUUUAUAUUCCAUUGAAAUAUUGUAUCUCAACUGGAUCAUCAAUAAAUCAACCAAUCAACUAAUGACAGAAACCGAUGAUGAUUGUCCACGCUUGGUGAUUGCCUCCCAUCCUCCUUAACUGGUGGACGAGUCUCCCCCCUCUGAAUAAGACAGCAGGGCCGACCACUACAGAAAUA